rnacentral:antisense_RNA from 1 species
CCAGAAUGAGAUGUCUCCACACACAGAGAGCUGCAGCUGAUGCCGGCCGGUGACUUGGGACUUGGAUGCUUAACAGGAGGCUCCCCCUCUCUUGGGAGGUAGAGAGCAGUGAGGAAGGGGACUCAGCUUCCAUGCCUCCCGCCAGCCCAGAUGCGCCCGAAUCACCUCCCUCCUGAAGGGAUGUCAGCCUUGGCUUGGACACCGUGGAGACAGGGCCCUCCUUGUGCUUCAGAAGCAUCAGCGUGUCAGAAAAUCAUCUUCACGCCAAGUCUGGAAAAAAUGGCUUUCAGGUUGUGCACACAAAGGAAGGAGGGAGAGCCCCAGGUGUCGCCGAGGACCGUGCGGCUGACAGAGCCAGCAGGGCGGUGGCGUGUGAGCCGUGCUCUGGAUAUAUAAGGAUCUGACAUGCUGGCAAUGUCUGAGCUCUACGCUCACCCAUCUGUCGGCUGCUAUCAUCACCGGGUGGGAUUAGCGGAGAUCCACUCUUUCAUAUUUAAAUCUUCACAAGAGAAUGAAUCACUUUUAUAAUAAAAGAAAAA